CCAGUGAAUAAUUUAACGGCCGCGGUAUCCUAACCGUGCAAAGGUAGCAUAAUCAUUUGUCUACUAAUUAUAGACCAGUAUGAAAGGCAAAAUGAGGGCCUAACUGUCUCUUAUAAUAAAUCAAUUAAACUGAUCUCCCAGUAAAAAAGCUGGAAUUCCCACAUAAGACCAGAAGACCCUGUGAAGCUUUAACUACACUAUUAAACCCUAUAAUAGCCACUUUCGGUUGGGGCGACCUUGGAAAAAAAAAGAACUUCCAAAUCUAUAACUAUAUUAUACUACCAACUAGGCCUACAAGCCACUAAACGACCCAGCAUAGCUGAUAAUUGAACCAAGUUACUCCAGGGAUAACAGCGCAAUCCUCUUCA
rnacentral:rRNA from 1 species